rnacentral:rRNA from 1 species
UACGGAGGGUGCAAGCGUUAUCCGGAUUUACUGGGUUUAAAGGGUGUGUAGGCGGACUAUUAAGUCAGCGGUGAAAUCUCCGGGCUCAACCCGGAAACUGCCAUUGAUACUAUUAGUCUUGAAUGUUGUGGAGGUGGGCGGAACGGGUCAUGUAGCGGUGAAAUGCAUAGAUAUGACCCGGAACACCGAUUGCGAAGGCAGCCCGCUACGCAACUAUUACGC